UAUUCUUGAUCAGGCAUUCCAGGAAAUUAA
rnacentral:piRNA from 1 species